AUAUGAAUGCCUCCAGCUACGAAAUCACCCGUACGCGCGAUGCUAUCAACAAUGUCGAAACGUACUUUGAGCAGCGUCCUGACCUGCUGAAGGCCGUCACCGGCGUUGACCAACUGAUUCCGUCUCCGGAACCGGGCGCGACUGAACCGACUGAAUUCCACUGCCAUCCGGCUAACACCAUUAACGCGCUUAACCGUGCGAAAGGGAUGCUGGCAAACGUGGAAAGCUACGACAAGUUAAGCGUUGAACAGCGUAGUCAGUUGCGUCGCAUUAUGCUGUGCAUUUCCGACACGACCGACAAAGUCGUGAAAUUGCCUGGCGUAAGCAGCGAUGACCAGCGCCUGCUGAAAAAGCUGAAGACCGAUAUGUUAAGCACCAUUGAGUAUGCGCCAGUGUGGAUCAUUAUGGCAGUGGCGUUGGCGCUGGGUAUUGGUA
rnacentral:misc_RNA from 1 species